GACGAACGCUGGCGGCGUGCUUAACACAGAAUGAAGAAACGAGUGGCGAACGGGUGAGUAACGCGUAAUCAACCUGCCCUUCAGAGGGGAACAACAGUUGGAAACGAAUGCUAAUACCUAAUACUGUGAGAGAGCUUUGCGUCCAAUUAGCUAGUUGGAGAGGUAACGGCUCACCAAGGCGAGGAUGGGUAGCCGGCCUGAGAGGGUGAACGGGCACAAGGGGACUGGGACACGGCCCGUACUCAUAAGGGAGGCAGCAGUGGGGAAUAUUGGACGACGGACCAAAGUAUGAUCAAGGAAUUCUGUGUGCACGAUGAAGUUUUCGGAAUGUAAAGUGCUUUGAGUUGGGAAGCGGUACCAACAGAAGAAGUGACGGCUAAAUACGUGCCAGCAGCCGCGGUAAUAC
rnacentral:rRNA from 1 species